UACGUAAGGACCGAGCGUUGUCCGGAAUCAUUGGGCGUAAAGGGUACGUAGGCGGUUAGACAAGUUUAAAGUGAAAGGGUAUGGCUCAACUAUAGAAAGCUUUUAAAACUGUUUAACUUGAGAGAUGGAAAGGAUAGUGGAAUUCCUAGUGUAGCGGUGAAAUGCGCAGAUAUUAGGAGGAAUACCGGUGGCGAGGGCGACUUCCUGGACAUAAACUGACGCUGAGGUACGAAAGCGUGGGGAGCAAACAGG
rnacentral:rRNA from 1 species